GCUCUCAAAGAAUAUCCAGGUUGUAACCACUAGAUUCCCUCUGAUCUUGGAAGUUAAACAGGGAAAGCUCCAGUUAAUAUUUGAAUGGGAGAUCACCAAUGAAAAACUGGUGUUGUGGGCU
rnacentral:rRNA from 11 species